GAAAUGCGAUAAGUAAUGUGAAUUGCAGAAUUCCGUGAAUCAUCGAAUCUUUGAACGCACAUUGCGCCCUCUGGAAUUCCGGGGGGCAUGCCUGUCCGAGCGUCAUUACGCACCCUCAAGCCCGGCUUGUGUGAUGGGCCCCGGCGUCUCGUUCGCGAGACGGGCCCGAAAGGCAGCGGCGGCGUCGACCCGAUGAGCCCGAGCGUAUGGGGACUUCUGUCACACGUUCGCGGUGCGGACCGGCGCCUGCUUGACUUUUCUGAUUAUCCAGGUUGACCUCGGAUCAGGUAGGGAUACCCGCUGAACUUAAGC
rnacentral:misc_RNA from 1 species